AGUUAUUAUAUAUUUACAGUUAUGUUAGAAUAAUUAAUAUUACAAAUAAUUUAUUUUUAAUUAUUUUUAUACAUAUAAAAAAACGAAAACAUUAAACGUCUGCUUUAAAUCUACAAUUCUUGUAACACGAGGAAUUUGCCUUUCGUCAUAUUUCAGAAGGACAAAUCGUAUAGUAAAUACGUUUUUUUUUUUACGGAAGGCCUCCUCAGUACUUUCUUACGAUGUACCAGAUACUUCAUUUGGCAACAACUUGGAGAUAUUAUCACGCAAAUAUCUUAUCAAAGCUGGUGAUUCUAAACACCCACGCAUAAACAAAGAAGACGGUUCCAUGCUUCUAUAUUUCAUGUUUUUUUGACUCGGAUGUUUUUGUGCUUUGAUGUUAACAUUGUGGCUAUAAAUUUAAUAUGCAAUA